UGGAACAAGAGUGCACACGCUGAAAUGUCUCGCCUUCUUUACUAAUCAUUGAUAUUAUGUUGAUAGUCCUAAAUAUAAAGCUUUAUUACAACUGUCACAUAAACUUAACAUUAACCAAGUAAACUAAACAUUGACCAAUGAACCAUGAAAAUGAGGUCAAGGUCAGAUGAACCAUGCUAGGCAGGCAUGUACAGCUAACAAUUCUUCCAUACAACAAAUAUAGUUGACCUAUUGCUUAUAGUUUAAGAAAAACAGACGAAAACACAAAAACUUUAACACUGAGCAAUGAACCUUGAAAAUGAGGUCAAGGUCAAAUAAAACCUGCGUGACUGACAUAUAGAUCAUAAAAUAUUUCCAUACACCAAAUAUAGUUGAACUAUUGCAUAUAGUAUUAGAAAAAAAGACCAAAACUCAAAAACUUAACUUUGACCACUGAACCAUGAAAAUGAGGUCAAGGUAAGAUGACACCUGCCAGCUAGACAUGUACACCUUACAAUCAUUCCAUACACCAAAUAUAGCUGACCUAUUGCAUGCAGUAUUAGAAAAAAAGACCAAAACUCAAAAACUUAACUUUGACCACUGAACCAUGAAAAUGAGGUCAAGGUAAGAUGACACCUGCCAGCUAGACAUGUACACCUUACAAUCAUUCCAUACACCAAAUAUAGCUGACCUAUUGCAUGCAGUAUUAGAAAAAAAGACCAAAACUCAAAAACUUAACUUUGACCACUGAACCAUGAAAAUGAGGUCAAGGUCAGAUGACACCUGCCAGCUAGACAUGUACACCUUACAAUCAUUCCAUACACCAAAUAUAGUAGACCUUUUGCAUACAGUAUAAGAAAAACAGACCAAAACACAAAAACUUAACUAUAACCACUGAACCAUGAAAAUGAGGUCAAGGUCAGAUGACACCUGCCAGUUGGACAUGUACACCUUACAGUCCUUCCAUACACCGAAUAUACUAGACCUAUUGCUUAUAGUAUCUGAGAUAUGGACUUGACCACGAAAACUUAACCUUGUUCACUGAUCCAUGAAAUGAGGUCGAAGUCAAGUGAAAACUGUCUGACGGGCAUGAGGACCUUGCAAGGUACGCACAUACCAAAUAUAGUUAUCCUACUACUUAUAAUAAGAGAGAAUUUAACAUUACAAAAAAUCUGAACUUUUUUUUCAAGUAGUCACUGAACCAUGAAAAUGAGGUCAAGGACAUUGGACAUGUGACUGACGGAAACUUCGUAACAUGAGGCAUCCAUAUACAAAGUAUGAAGCAUCCAGGUCUUCCAUCUUCUAAAAUAUAAAGCUUUUAAGAAGUUAGCUAACGCCGCCGCCGCCGCCGUAGCCGCCGCCGCCGCCGCCGCCGGAUCGCUAUCCCUAUGUCGAGCUUUCUGCGACAAAAGUCGCAGGCUCGACAAAAAUCAGUUUAA